GAUGAACGCUGGCGGCGUGCCUAAUACAUGCAAGUCGAGCGAACGGACGAGAAGCUUGCUUCUCUGAUGUUAGCGGCGGACGGGUGAGUAACACGUGGAUAACCUACCUAUAAGACUGGGAUAACUUCGGGAAACCGUAGCUAAUACCGGAUAAUAUUUUGAACCGCAUGGUUCAAAAGUGAAAGACGGUCUUGCUGUCACUUAUAGAUGGAUCCGCGCUGCAUUAGCUAGUUGGUAAGGUAACGGCUUACCAAGGCAACGAUGCAAAGCCGACCUGAGAGGGUGAUCGGCGACACUGGAACUGAGACACGAUCCAGACGCCUACGGGAGGCAGCAGUAGGGAAUCUUCCGCAAUGAGCGAAAGCCUGACAGAACAACGCCGCGUGAGUGAUGAAGAUCUUCGGUUCGUAAAACUCUGUUAUUAGGGAAGAACAUAUGUGUAAGUAACUGUGCACAUCUUGACGGUACCUAAUCAGAAAGCCACGGCUAACUACGUG
rnacentral:rRNA from 1 species